rnacentral:lncRNA from 1 species
GUGGAAGAAUGAGGGUGUUCCAGGCUCAGGAAAGGGCCUGAGCAAAGGCAGGAAGGCACUCGGUGUUUCGAGAAAUGGUGAGGAAUCCCUGAGACUUCAUGCUUUUGGGUUACCAUUCCCCAGGAUACUAAUACUUCUUUGAAGAUAAGAUUUUCUUCCCAGAGAACGAAGGUCAAGUUGACCUGCUGUGUAUGCGUUAAACUGCAGCAAAACAUAUCCUUUAGCCAUGGCAGAAAAACUCAGAAAAGAAUUUAUAUGUCCCAUCUGCCAGAACUAUUUUGAAGCUCUCUGUUUGACAUUCUGGAAACACAACUUGUGCUUCACCUGCCUCAGGCAUUUGGAGGGGGAAAAUCAAGAUGGCCUUUGCACUUCUCCCCAGUUUUGACAGCUUAUGGAUGCAGAGGAUUGAGACCAACAUGGUCCUGGAAAAACUGGCUGAGAUCAAAGUGAUGAUGCCCAUGCUGAGCAUGUGCCGCUGGAUGCUGAGAUUCUAUGUGAAUGUAACUCUGGAUCUAGCCAUGGCCAAUGACUUCCUCAUAUUCUCUAAUGAUCUGCAGAGCAUGUGAUGUGAAUACAUCCAGAUGAGACCACCAGACAAUGCUGAGACAUUCGUCUCUGCUGCUUGUGUCCUCCCAUCUCACAUCUGCCCGCCACCACUUAGGGGUGGAAGUGAGAGAAGCAAUGAAAUGAACAGUGGGUGUUUGCAGUGUAUCUUCAUAUCUUCAAGGUCCUUUCCUGUUGUUUUCAGACCCGGAGGUCUGAAUGGUGGGCCCCAGGGGAGGACAAGAACUUAUUGCCAGUACAGACACUAGGGCUGUUCUUCACUUGAACCCAGACUUGCAGAAGGUGGGUGUUUUCCUGGACUGUGAAUUAAAAGUCAUUUCUUAUUUCAAUGUCUCUGAUAGUUUUUGUCUAUUCACCUUCACAAAUGUGUCUACAAUGGAACCUGUGUGUCCAUUCUUCUUCCCUGAGACCCAAGCGAAA